rnacentral:rRNA from 1 species
AUUGAACGCUGGCGGCAGGCCUAACACAUGCAAGUCGAACGAGUGGCGGACGGGUGAGUAAUGUAUGGGAAAAUGCAUGAUGGAGGGGGAUAACUACUGGAAACGGUAGAUAAUACCGCAUACCAUCAGAUGUGCCCAGAUGGGAUUAGCUGGUUGGGGGGGUAACGGCUCACCAAGGCGAAGAUCCCUAGCUGGUCUGAGAGGAUGACCAGCCACACUGGAACUGAGACACGGCCCAGACUCCUACGCGAGGCAGCAGUGGGGAAUAUUGCACAAUGGGCGCAAGCCUGAUGCAGCCAUGCCGCGUGUAUGAAGAAGGCCUUCGGGUUGUAAAGUACUUUCAGUCGGGAGGCGUUACCCGCAGAAGAAGCACCGGCUAACUCCGUGCCAGCCGCCGCGGUAAUUC